rnacentral:rRNA from 1 species
UACGUAGGGGGCAAGCGUUGUCCGGAUUUAUUGGGCGUAAAGAGCGUGUAGGCGGCUAGGUAGGUCCGUUGUGAAAACUCGAGGCUCAACCUCGAGACGCCGGUGGAAACCAUCUAGCUAGAGUCCGGAAGAGGAGAGUGGAAUUCCUGGUGUAGCGGUGAAAUGCGUAGAUAUCGUAAGGAAGACCAGUGGCGAAGGCGGGUCUCUGGACAGUUCCUGACGCUGAGGCACGAAGGCCAGGGGAGCAAACGGG